AAUAUUAUAUUUCUGUUUGCCCUAAAAAUGCAAUGGUUUCUUAUGUCUUUCAGCCUCAAGCUUUAUUCCAGGAAGGUAAUUCUGAAGAUACCUAUCUUCUUGAGAGUGAAAUUUUAUGAAAUCCUAGAUUUCUCCUACCUAGGAAUAACGCUUUAUUCUUUACUCUUGCUGUAUCUUUAUUCUCAAAUGGUUACACAAUGGCAGCAUCAAUUCAAGACCUCACAUCCUCUGAUAUUCAGGUUAAAAUGAAGAAUGAAACGGAAGGGAGAGCUUCUCUCUUUGCAACGCUGGAACAGAUGUCUUGAGUCUGGCUCCUGAUGACUCAAUUUAUGUCAUGUGCUCAGUCCUAAACCAGUCCUUGUGGCAGAAGUGAAGUGGUUGUCAAAAGAAUUGGGGGUAGUAUUGAAAAGAAAAAUAGAAAAUGGCAGGCCAAAAUAUAACAAAUGUCCACUGCCAAAAAUAAUGUUUUCCUGUCAAUUUUUAAGCAUGCAUGUAUGGUUUCAAUGAAUUAGUGAAAGUAUGUGUUGGUGUAUACAUAUACAUAUAAGAAUAUAAUCUAUAUACAUAUAUACACAUACUAUAUGUAUUUAUAGAUAUUAUAGAUAUCCACAUAUGUAAUAUCUAUAUUUUGAAGUAUAUGAAAUAAAGCAACAAGAACCUUCCACUUUUUCUGUGUCCCUGGGGCUUAAUUCUGUGCCUGAUAUACUCAGUAAUACUUUUUGAAUGAAUAAGCAAACAUGAGCUGUUCCUUAACCUUAUAGUAAUCUCUGCUGGACUUCUCUAUCAAAGUGUUUGAUACAGCAAAGUAAGAAUUUCUGUGCAUGUAUAUAAAUAAUUUGAAAAACUAUUCAUAG
rnacentral:lncRNA from 1 species